CGCUGUCACUCCUACGGGGAGGCAGCAGUAGGGAAUCUUCCACAAUGGGCGCAAGCCUGAUGGAGCAACACCGCGUGAGUGAAGAAGGGUUUCGGCUCGUAAAGCUCUGUUGUUAAAGAAGAACACGUAUGAGAGUAACUGUUCAUACGUUGACGGUAUUUAACCAGAAAGUCACGGCUAACUACGUGCCAGCAGCCGCGGUAAUACGUAGGUGGCAAGCGUUAUCCGGAUUUAUUGGGCGUAAAGAGAGUGCAGGCGGUUUUCUAAGUCUGAUGUGAAAGCCUUCGGCUUAACCGGAGAAGUGCAUCGGAAACUGGAUAACUUGAGUGCAGAAGAGGGUAGUGGAACUCCAUGUGUAGCGGUGGAAUGCGUAGAUAUAUGGAAGAACACCAGUGGCGAAGGCGGCUACCUGGUCUGCAACUGACGCUGAGACUCGAAAGCAUGGGUAGCGAACAGGAUUAGAUACCCUGGUAG
rnacentral:rRNA from 1 species